AAUUUCUGAUUUACUUUAUGUUAAGUAUGUACCAAUUGUAUUCAUCAAGAAUCUUUAAAAUACUAAACAAAUUACAUUAUUUACUCAAACUUGCACUUUUUUCAGGUUUUAGUAUCUGAAACUAGGGUGCAUCUUAGAUUUAAUACAUCAUAAUUAGUGACUUCUAGUGUUGUUCGUCAUAUUCCUCUGUCACUUCACUGUCAUGAAUACUAAUCUAAUAAAAUCAUUAAACAUUUAAGAGGUCAGUUUAGCCCUAUCAUAACUGUUGGGUAAAAUUCAGGGAAAAAGUUCUCAGCACUCUUUCAAGAAACAUGGCAUUUCUGACGGUUCAAAUGAAUCCUAAGAUGAUUGCGCAUGGAAAGAUGCAAGAAAGAUCGAAUCUGGUGACAAUUCACAAGAGCCUAACAGAAAGCAAUGUUUGACUUUGAUAUCAUGGAAGAUAGUGAUAUAUAACUUUACCUUAAAUAAAUAUUGAAUGAGUUUGUCAACAGAACCAAUUAUAUUGACAUAAAUCUAUCUUGAUUUGUCUAGUUUUUCAAGAAAAAAUCAAGAAUGAGCGUGAAGAAAUUAAGGUGUCUUAUAUUUGAGUAAAUAUAGUUUAUCUAAUUUGACUAUAAUAUAGUCUGUAUAGAGCUAGACUUUGCUUGAUUGGAGCCAAUUUUUUUAAAGUAAGCAGUAUAAUCCUAAUCACCUACUCUAAACUAUUUUCAAUUUCAAAUAAAUAACCACAAUACUUUUAUCUAAUUCAGCAGCUUUUAUUUCUCUGCAAAACAAAUGUUUUCAAUCUUCUUUUGAGAGGUAAUAUUCAAAAAACGGAAAUGUCUGAAGAACUGAUGUAUUUCAAAAUUUGAAACCUCAGAGGCGUGUAUAAGCUUGACACAAUUAAAUCAUAAAUGCUUAUUGAAAUACACUUGCCAAGAAUGAGAAGUAAAUUUCUCUUCAUUACAAUUAAUACAGCCUCUAAGUCGGCCACUUUAAAGAUCUCAAGGGCUUCCAAUUCUCUGAGUUAUUCAGUAGAGAGAGCAAAUCUUAUCGGAGGCCCAAUUUAAUUUUGCAAUAAUGUCGUCAUCCAACGCAUACAUAGAUAGGACUGUGGAUCUCUUAUGAACUAUGUCAUAUCUAUGAUCUGCCAUCUGUUUUUUCAGUGACUUUUUGUAGAUCCAAUGUAAACCAGGACCUGGUUUACAUUGUCUGGAACCUUUCAUUGCUUAAAGGAAUCUUAUGUAUACCAGGCAUUCUUUCUCUUUGUUCAUUGGAUCAUUCUUGUUAUGUAAUAGUUUAUAGAAGUUGCUUCAGAGGAAGAGACAGGAGAAUGUGCUUUCUUAUAGAUUAAGUACAGGGGGUUUUGGAGAAAAAUCAUCCAGGCAAAGCUGUUGCAGGCAGUGUCUGCAACUUGUUUAAUGAUAGUCUUGCCCCAUUUUAGGCAAAUUUUAAAGAGGCGGCAGAAACUGACCUUUUUGGAUAGCUUUCUUGUGUGACAUGGGUCCACUGACUCUGAAGCUGGUCCUAGUGCCAAAAGACCAAGAAGGGAAGUGACCCCAAAUAGUGCCUUGAUACCUAAGGUCCUUAUGGAGGGGGAUCCCCCUUCCAAACAAUAAUAUCUGCACCCCUCUCCCCCUCCUUGCCAUCUUCCAUAUGCCAAGAGUCUUCAGAAAGGCCCAUCCAGUAAUGAAGACAGUACAGAGCAAAGAGUCAGAUUCGUAUAUUUCUGACAGUGUGAAUACCAUCCCGUCUACAUCUGUUAUACCAUCGCAUCCACGAAAAAGAGCUAGGAUGAGAACUAGGGUGAGUCUACUGGUGAUAUUGAAUGGAAAGAGGUGGACCAGAGACCUUGAUUGGCUGUAAUUUAAGGCAUUUAUCUCAGAAGAAUACACUAAUUGAAGAUUUUGCAGGAUUUACUUCAGAGUGCAUCCAUAUCUAUCCAAAGAAAAACUUUGUGCACAACAAAAGAAGUCUCAAACAGGAUUUUUGAUAUGCUUUUGCAUAAACUGUUGCAUUGAUUCUUGGUAAAUUUUCUACCUUAUAUAACUGUCUACUAUGAAAAUUCCAUUCUUUAAUGCAAGGUAUUUCUAUUUAUUGCAACACUUUACCCAAUAUUGUUAGAGUGACAAGUCAGACUAACAAUAGCAAUCUAUUUCUCAUGAUAUCCCUUUUUGUUCGAUCAUUGCAUAGAUGUAAAAUUAUUAGGGGCAGUCAAAUGAAAACAAGACAGAUGGGAAAAAAGUAAGUAAACUGCUUAUUAUUUCAAAAGUAAUUGUCAUAAUGGUUAUUACCUUUAUCCCACUGUGAGACAAGACGGUCAAUGCCUUCAUAGAAAAAUGUUUGCAGUUGCCUAUGGAACUAUGAUUGUACCCAGGUGUGCACCUUUUCAUCCAAAGCAAAUUGACGGCCACGAAUGUCUUUCUUCGGGGCUCCAAAAAUAUGGAAAUCGCAUGGAGGAUGUGUAUGGACUAUGCUGCAGAAGUUCCCAGCGAAACUUCUGCAGCAUAGUCAAAACAACCUUGGUAACAUGUGGCUGGGCAUUAUCCUGCAACAGAAUGAUGCUGUCUGUCAACAUUUCUGGGUAUUUGGAUUUAAUGGCAUGCUUCAAUUUUUGCAAAGUUUCUAUGUAUCGCUGUGCAUUAAUUGUGGUGCUGUGUUCCAGAAAGUCAACAAGCAGCGGACCUCCAUAGUGAUGCUGAAUGCACACAUGACUCGCCGGCCUCACUUUGAGCGCGUCUAACAGACAAAUGGCACAGCGGUGAACGUUCACGCUGUUCCUUCCUGAUUCCCAAUAGAGGGCACUUCUAUAUACACACCUACCUGCAUUACCAACUUCCCAUGCCACACUUGUUAUAUUGUCUGUCUCAUUUUCAUUUGACUGCCCUUAAUACAAUUGCAUUAACUCUCAGGAAUGUACAAAAAUUGCAACUAAGGAAACACUAAUAGUAGUUUCCCUUGUGAUAUAUAAGCUAAAUGCAGAAUUUUUGAUUUCUCUCCUUGUUUUACAUUAUCUGUUUCUUUAAAAAUUUAAUUAUUUAAAUAUAUGGGUGCAGCCUUUUCAGGUACUUUCAGAGUUUGAAUUGUGUGACUAUUUUGUAGUGCUCUUCACUUCUACAGUAGUCAAAAAAUAACUGGACUAACUCAAAGCCUGUAAUCAAGUAAUUGAAAAUAGUGACAAAUAUAUACGAAUGACCUUUGCUUUCUGUAAAUUGUAUUCUUUGCCAAGGCUUCUAAACAUUUGCCACAGCUUAUUAAAAUAACUCUCAAAAUUAGAAAGUUUUCCUAGGGUUUUGCGUUUGAAUCUGGAUGUAAAAUCAGUCAGGGAUAUCCAUUUUAGGAUUUAGUAAUGUGGCUACCAUAUUGUGAAACCCUAAAAUGUACAGUUUGGCAUCUAGCAC